rnacentral:lncRNA from 1 species
GUUUCAUCAAAAAGGGCUCCGGCCUCUCCGGUGUACCGAAAAAUGUCUUCACCAUUAUGUGGAAGACGGGCAAUGGUAUGAAGAUUUUCAUCGGAAAGGAGGAAUUGAACACCAUUAAUGUUGGUGACAAGCUCACCAUCAUCAUCCUCAUGGAGGUUGGAAUAAAAUGCUUGAACCAAUGUAGUAUUGAUAUAAGGAUGGGUA